UAAGACCAAUGAGAAUCCGUCCCCAGGCUCUGAUGGAACAAUCGGGAUCUAAGGGUCUCUCUCUUUGCUAGGUCAAUAGAUUAUCAGCCUGAAGCUGUUGGUGCCCUUCUUUGUUAGACAGGGAAAAUCUUCCUCAAAAUGAAGCCAGCACGGCAAAAUCAGCUGUGAGAGACAAAGAGAAACAAUGCCCCGAAAACAAACACGUGCCCUUGGUUCCAGCACGUUACUCUGGACUUUUCAGUGACAUGCGCAGAUUUUUGUAGCUUAAGCCAGUUUGAACCGGGUUUUCUGUCACUCUCAUCUAAAGGAUUCUGAGGCAUACCGAGGAACUGACAUGUCCUAUGGCUAGAAUGGAAUGUGAAUCUUGCUAAUCUUGCUACUGCAGGGAAGGCACGGGGAGGCGAAGUGGCCGACCUCAGUGCAGUCUCGGUUAUGUCUUCAGCCAGGUGGGACUGCUGGGAAAACUGUUUCAUCUUUCUGAGCCCUAGUGCACUUGUAUGUCAAAUGAGAGAGUCACAUUUUGAUAAAAGCAGCAAUUUAUCCUGAUUUUCUGUGAAACACUGAUGAAAUAAAGCAGACUUCAGGCUCCAGAAGCAAGGGGUCCCCAGCUUCCUCUUCAUCGUCCCCACUUCUACAUACAGCUUUGCAGACAGUGGAUGAUCAAGUGAUGCUUGGUGAAUACACAGAUGAAUGAAUGUAAACCCAGGAAAAUUCUAUGAGAUCACCUUGGCCAGGAAGCCUUCUCUGACUGAUCUAAGCAUACAUGGAUGCUUCUUCUCCUAGGUAAACCCCUGAGAGAGCUCAACCUCUGUUAGAGACCCAGAGACCACAGCUCUCAAUCCUUUUAAUCUCCAAUUAAUUAAAACUCCCUGGGAAUACCAACGAAAAGGUGACCUACGGUCUUCAAUGAGAACCUGAACUCACAUCAUCAGACAUCGAGGUCUAAACUUCCACAGUCUAUGAUGUCCCAGGAAGGGCAUGAAGCCAAUGUAUUCGGUUCACAACGUUAUUUCAGAGGAACACGAUCCUGGGAAGAAACGUUACUAGCACACCUAUCUAGGCACGAUUUAAGAGGAUGCCCAAAGGUUCAUCGUAGACUCCCAGGGUAUCUCCAGCCACCACUUGGGAGCCACUGAAACAAAGCGUGACUUGAAAAGAAGUCCAUUUAAUUUUCAGGGCCACGUUGGGACCGUCUCACGGGAAUUUUUCUCACUUAUACAUGAACUGGAGUAAAAAGGGAAAAAUCAUAGCGUAUAUGAGAACAGGAGAAGGAAAGCCAGUCAGGCACUUACAUUUAAGUCUUCAAGUCUGACAGCUGAAAAAUCACAGAUUUACUGGAUGCAGCCUUCUGCUUCUCUUCACCACAGACACUGCUCUGACAGUGCAAAAAUCUCACUAAGUUUAUUGAGAAAAUAUGACUCAAGCUCCAGCUCUCAAAAUGGAUUCCGUCCUUGUAUGGAAAAGCUGUGGACUGCUGGUGCUCCAAGAUACAGCCCCAGGAGGGGUGAGGCUCCCACCAAGCCCCCGCUACCCGCGUAUGCUGUUGCAACACUCAUUCUACGACAGUGCAAUGAUUGAUCUUCGGUCUCUUUCUUCUUCAAAACAGGAGUCCUUUGCAGGCAGGAAUGUAACAAUCUUUUUUUGUGAUGAAGUAUAUGCAAUUUUACAAUUAAAAAUAGUAUCAUAUCAUAUGGAUACGCCACGUAGAAGGGAAGAAAAGGCCGGCAAAGACACCUAAGUCUAAACCAAAACACUUUAUAUGCAAGGAAAGAAAAAAGGAAGCUAUAUUUUCAUUGGUAAACGCUAAUAUAAAUUCGGGCAGGAAUGUGAACUUAAUGAUUUAUCCCAAACUCCCCUCUUAUUCCAAAUUAGCAAAAAAAUAGGCUCAAAUUUCACCCACAGGCUCCUCUUUCUUGAUCUUUAAAAUUAAAGUAGCUAUAUUAUGUCAGCACAGUGCCAAGAUUUGAAAUUAAAUAGGUCCCCAAUGCAAAAGAAAAAGUUCUUUUAAACCACAUGAACUUGUCUGCAAUGAGCACAUUACAGCUCCCACCUAAGCAUCAUGCUAUAUGGAAAUACACUCCUGGAGCUGCUGCUGUUUCAAAGACCUUUCAGUUUUGCACUUUCUGAAGUUGUUUUGUAGGAAAACAUUUAGCAGAACACACACAAUUAAUUUUUUAAGUGUUACCUCUCUGUUUUUCCAUUUCAUACCUGACUUUAGUUGAUAAAAAGAGGAGUGGCCUUUUGAUUACACAGGAGAGAAGGGGAAAAAACAGUCUCAGUAAUAAAAGAGGUACCUGCCAAUUAGUUAGAUUGUUCUCCAGUUUUCAAUUAAAGGCAGUCUAAUGGAUGGAGGGAGACCUGUUUUAUUUUCCCUGACAGAGCUCUUAUUUUUAAACUCUUAGCUUCAUUUCCCAAAAUUGCUGGCUUUAGACAGAAGAAACAUAUAUCUUGAGUGAAAAGCUGUACUGUUCUUCUUCUAUUUCCUGUAUCAAAAUUACAUUCUCCUCCUCGGUGGCUACUUCCCAUCUGGCUCCACAAAGCUUUCUGCUGCCCAGGACUGGCUUGUUAAUGGAUGGCGGUCCCUGAUGUUAUAACCCACUCCAGAAGAUGGGGUGUCAGAUCCUGCCCCGGGGCCAGGACGCCUCAUCUAGGAGCUUUGGGGGUGUUUUAGCCUAAUUUUGCUUUCUUCAGUUGACCAUUCCAAGGAACGUCAUUUACCCUUCUCAUUUUCUCCAGAACGACAAAAGAGAUAGCUUAGGAGGGUGUGUUUAUUCUGAACCCAUCCAAAAGCACUUCGGUCUCUCGAAGCAUCCGCCUGUAGAUGAAAUCUGGGAAUUAUUUUCCUUAGAUGAAACAGGACUGAACAUUUCCUUGGACACGGCUGGCCUUUUUCCUUGGACACGCACAUAUUCAAGAUUGAUAUUUUUAUUCAGAGUUUUCUCAAAUGAAUAAUUAGGAGAUGUCCACAGGCAGGUGUAGGAGAAAGAGCCGCCCCUCCCCCAUAAAUCAUGAUUAAACUGUAUUUAACCACCAAGGAUCUGAACUGGCUUUUGUUAACAGCUUAGCAGUCUUGUUUCUGUGGGAUAGCACAGUCUCUAGACUUUGGGGAUUUGUGGGGCCAAUUCCCCAUCCCGUCAAUGGUAGUUAGAGCAGCUGAAUAAAUCCCUCCAGAUUGGACCAACCACCCUCUCCAGGCUGGAAAAUAAACCAUGAAUCACAUUAUCCUGGUAACUGGAGAUUUAACAUAUCUAUAGACGGAAGACAUAAAGCAUCAUAUAUUAAUUCCUAUUUGUUUUCAACAUCACCUGAAGUUUACUUGGUUCAGCCCAAAGACGGCUACAAGAGACACGUUAGAAUGAAGCACGACGCUUUAGCGAGCAUUAGAAUAGACCCUGGGAAAGCACCUGGCAGUGACAAAAAAGUAGUGCGUUCAUCCCGCCAAGAAAAUGCAAAGGGCUUUUAGGAGCCCCUCAGAAGGAGAUUCUGAGUUAAUUUGGUUUCCAAAUGGCUUUUAUGAGCUUCCUUACCCAAAGUAUUUCAGAACGUCAUCUCUUUUAAUUUUUAAUCUUUACCCGCGCAAUGCUCCAAAAAUAUACCGAUCUGAAUCAUUGCCUCUCAUCUUGCUAUCUUAAUGGGGGAAGGAUAGAGUAUCACGCCGGCCAUUCCGCAUUAGGUGUCCUCAUUUACAGAUUGAAAAAAAAAAAGUGCCGGACAUAAAUUAUUUAAAAUCUAUUGUAUCAGUGUGUGUUCUGUAAGCAUUCACUACCGGCAAAGCAGACAGAUUAUUUUUCACUUUUAAUUGUGUUGAUACCUUAUAUGCUUUGUUGAAAGCGGAGAGUGGUAGGUGAAACCACAUCACACGCGAGGAACAGAGAAGCAAUGGGGUCUAUUAUUUAAAGCCAAAGUAACCCAUUUAGUGGACAGAACUGUAACACACUUCCAUGGAAGGGAAAACCUGGAGUUGCUAUUUAUGCCUGUAAUGUGUGUCUAUUAUUGUGGCAGACGUGACUGAGGGUAGCACAGGGCCGGGCUCCUUAAGGAAGCUGUUGACUGGCUGCAUCAGGGACACCAGACACUUCACAUCAGCAUCCCAGCACAAAGGCAGCUACUGUGUGUGACUGAGCCGGGUGACACGCCCUACGUCCCUCCUCUCUCUCCUCUCCAAGUCAUAGGCAUGGUCUAAAGCAAUGUACAUCAGAGGUCAUCAUAGGUAUACUUGACCUAAUCCAAACCUCAUCCUAAUCUAAGAAAAACAAUGAGUAAGAAAAAUGUUUAGAUAAUAGCCUGCGACUGGAAUCUGACUAAAAUAAAAUUGUACACAGGGACACAAGGAUUCAUUAUUAGAAAUUCAAAUUUACCCCCUUCUCUCAUCGACAUGGAAGACCAUCAUUAGGAAAUGCAUGUAUGAGCUGGAUAUGUCGGUAUGUGGCUAAAAAGCACUUCACCAUUAUUUGAACGUAAAACAUCUCUCCAAACCCAGCAACUUCGGAAUUUGUCUGGGUGAACUGACAGAUGAUGGUAGGGUAUAUACAGAUAAUGACUAUAGAAUUGUUCUGAUGUAGUUUAUUAGGUUGAAAACCUGUCAUAACUCUAUAUAUUUGUGUCGUCGGCACCAAAUCCAGCACCUUGCCAGGCAAUCAGUGAGUAUUUGCUCACAUGGAUGGCUGGUUGUAUGGGAGAGUGACUCUCUUUGCCAAAUAUCCUCCGCCAGGGCUGUAGGAUGGCUGGAGUGAACGAGUACCCAAGUCGAAGUCCAAAGGGCUAUGGGCUAGUCUACUGUCUGCCUUUAACUGGCUUUGGACUCUGGGCAAACUGUUUACCCAUUUCUGCAGUUCCAUUUCACAAGUCUGAAAUAAUCUCUACAUGCCUUCUAGCACUGGUAUUUGAGAUUUCCAUGUGUCUUAUUAAAGGAACAUUCAGCCUGUCUCCAACAUGAGCCUUAGUUCUGUAUCUUUUGUGAGACAUGGCUUGUUUGGUAAGAUGCAAGAGCUGAAGAAAGCCCAGUCUCCCAAAUAUGGGCCCUUUUUACAUUGACUCAAAGUUCGGCAAAAAGACAACUCCCAGCAAAAUACUCAAGUCAACAACCAGACACAAAACUGAACUGCAUCACAUCUGAUAUUUGUGAGUUUCAUUUCCACACUGUCAAAUAUAAUUCGUGGCAACCCACUUCAGUGAAAGCCCAAUGUUAGCCAGUGCACUGUUCUUAUCCUCCAAACUCCACAACCCCAAAAAGUGUGAGCUUCAGACUGAACUCCUGACCUUUCCAGCAAUUAUCCCCGGAAUCUAGACAGCCCCAUCAUCACCUCAAGCCAACGUGUGAGAGGAGCAGCAGCCAGGAAUGCUCUGCCUCUGUUCCCGAAGGGAACCAGAGUGAGAGAGGAUCCUGCUUUCCUUUCCAUCUGCUUUCUCCAAUAAAAGGGAAAAAAAUAAAUGGAAAUGAAAAGUAUACAAUUAAAAAAAAUUACAUUUAACUUCCUUUUGCUAAUGUCUGUAAGAUGAUUUUUGGCCUGGCAGGAGACUCCAGAUGGGCCGUGUAAUGAAUAUAAUUCAAUACAAAGAACUGGAGUUCACAGAAACACAUUUUUCCAAGUCUGAAGGUAGUGGGUUGUCUCACACUGUUUAAUGCAAAACACCAGGACAAGUCAUUGCAUUUAUUUGCUGUUGCACAUUGGCCUUUAAACCUCAUAUCAGUGGGGCUAGACCUAAAGCCAUGAAACCAGAAGCUGUCACUCUGAGAUGAGGCUGGCACCAGCGCACACUCACCCAAAAGGCCAGAGACCACUAACCACUCAAUGUGUUUUUCCUCCGGGGUCUGAGGAUUUAUAUCACCAAUUAAGGCCAUAAUGAGUGCCCCAAGUUGACCUCCUAGGAGCAAGAAUUAAUUAAGCACAGUAUUUCUUAGUAAAGAAUGACAUUUUCCAAACGAGUUAUAUAAGGUAGCCACAUUUUCUGAUAUUACUGUGCCUCUAUGUACAAUUCUUAAUUGUUAACACAAAUAGAACAUUCCAGGAACACAGCUUAGUUUAUGUUUUUAAUUUGACAGUAAAAGAAAAUAAUUUUUACUUUUAUCCUUAUUUUGGAGGCAAGGAGAAUGUUUUGAGUAUAUCGUGUGUGUGUGAAACACAAAAUUAUUUACAUUAGUAAUAUAGUAUCACUUCUUUCAAUUAUUAAUAUCACUACAAAUGAAGGAAGCUAAGAUUCAUAUUUAUAACCUUCCCAGCUUUCGAAAAGGAAAAGUCAUGUUUUAAACCUAGUUGUUCUCCAAAAUUCUUAUGUUUCCAUAAAUACUGCAAUUGAGGUUAAAAAAAAACAGGGUAAGGCUUCAAUUUUGUAAACAACACCUUAGAGAGCCUCAUCCAGGGGUUGGCAGAUUUCUACAGAGGGCCAAAUAGAAACUCUUCAAGCUGUGGGCCAGAGACUUAGCUGCAAAUACUGAAUUCUACCAUCACAGAAUGAAAGUCAUCAUAGACAAUACAGAAAUGACUGGAUUGGCUGUGUACCAAAAAAAAUUUAUUUAUAGACACAAGAAUUUGAAUUUCAUAUAAUUUUCAUAUGUCAUAAAAUUAAACUUUUUUUCAAGCACUUAAAAUGUAAAAAAUAUUCUUAGCUCUUGGCUGUACAAAAAUAGGUGGCAAAUCAGAUUUAGCCUAUGGGCCAUAAUUUGACAACCCCUGGCUAAAACAUAUGUAUAUUUUGUAGUAAUCAGUGAGGCUGGAGAAAAUACGGUCUGUCUCUUUCUCAUUCUCUCACACAUGAACAUACGUACAUAUACACCCUAAUUAUCAACAUCACGGUCUCAGAAACUGUUGAUGUAAAGGAAAAAAUGCGGCUUCAAGCAUGUCUCUUCUGGCAUGAACUAGAACAUGAAGAAAACUUCAGCCUUGAAGAAACAUUACAAGGGUGAUAGGAAAAAGAGACCUCUUUCCUCCCCGCCCUUUCUCAUAAAGAAAAUUCCCACUCUAAAUUAAAAACCAUGUCCUCCCCCUUCUUUAAGGAGUUAACAUAGCCAGCACAGAUCUGGAAAUCCCUACAGCCUACUUGCCAAUUAAUGUAUUUAACUCUAAAGAGCAGGAGUUUUUUAAUUUAGCUCAUCCAUCACUAACAGAACAUUUUGGUAGAAAAUAUUAGGAUUUCCAAAUAACUUUAUAGCUCUGUAAAUUGCCAACAUACCAUCUGCAAUUGAAUUAACAUUUAUAACCAAACUGAAAUAAUAAAUAAAGCAAAUUAUGCUGCAAAUAUUCGUGAGUGCCCAAUAUGCACUUGAGAACGAUAAUUAGCAUUUUAUAAUCACGCUUCAUUUUCUUUAUCCAACUCCCUGUCACAUUAAUGAUAAAAUAUUUUAAACUGUGCUCUAUCAGCAAAUGGCAGUACAAUCUCUAGAUUAGCCAUUAACUAACAUGGAGAAUGAACACGGUUUGUGCUGCUGACAUUAUGCAUCCUCAGAAGUUUUACUCCUAAUCACAUCCUCCAGUCUCCCUUGCUCGUAUCUCUGGGUUUUGUUUCCCUAUGCUACCAAAACAAGGCCGAGAAAGCCAGUUCUUCAUUUGCACCAUCUGAGCCUGAAAUUCCAUGGGAACUAAAGCCACACACUCUU